CCGGACUACCAGGGUUUCUAAUCCUGUUCGCUACCCAUGCUUUCGCUCCUCAGCGUCAGUAACUGCCCAGUAACCUGCCUUCGCCAUCGGUGUUCCUCCUGAUAUCUGCGCAUUUCACCGCUACACCAGGAAUUCCAGUUACCCCUACAGCACUCAAGUUAUGCCCGUAUCGCCUGCACGCCCGGAGUUAAGCCCCAGAAUUUCACAGACGACGCGACAAACCACCUACGAGCCCUUUACGCCCAGUAAUUCCGGACAACGCUCGCACCCUACGUAUUACCGCGGCUGCUGGCACC
rnacentral:misc_RNA from 1 species